AAAAAUGGUGGCCACAAAUCUGGCAUCAUCGCUCUAAAGUCUGGGACAAUUUCACCCUAGAUAAGGCAAAGAAAAAACUUAUUUGCAACAUUUGCAAAGCGGACUACUUCAGUAAUGCAUGAGCAUUUGAAGAGGAGGCACAUUGGAUAUCUGGACGAAUCAGAAUUGGACUUGCCACGUACAAAAGACGACCAUGGAUGGUUUUCUGCUAAAGAAGCAGACGUGUACUCCACAGCAGGCAACUGCGCUCACUGAGUCAAUACUAAACAUGUUGAUAAAAGACAUGAGACCACUCUCCGUGGUUGAUGGUGAAGGGUUUCAAGAAGAAACUUCAAGAGCAAAUCUUCUCUGCAACAGGGAAUAUCUGCUCUCAGAAAAGAGCAAGCCUGACCCGAGACCAGGUUGAAAUGCUGACAUUCUUUAGUAUGAAUAAAUUGUUAUUGAAAUACCCUUAUGUUGUAACUUGUUACAGAAUGUUUUGCACUGUUUUACUGCUGCUAAUGUGCCUGUCCUUGGCUUAUAGAAAAAAAAGUUAUUUUUUUACGUUGUUUGGAAAAUUGACAGUUUUAUUUAUAUCAGCAGCAAACUAUUAAAAUAUGUUUGUGAGUGAA